rnacentral:rRNA from 1 species
GGAUAACCUGCCCUUUGGACCGGUAUAACCCCGGGAAACUGGGGAUAAUUCCGGAUAACGCAUAUGUGCUGGAAUGCUUUAUGCGUCAAAUGGAUUCGUCCGCCCAAGGAUGGGUCUGCGGCCUAUCAGGUAGUAGUGGGUGUAAUGUACCUACUAGCCAGCGACGGGUACGGGUUGUGAGAGCAAGAGCCCGGAGAUGGAUUCUGAGACAUGAAUCCAGGCCCUACGGGGCGCAGCAGGCGCGAAAACUUUACAAUGCGGGAAACCGUGAUAAGGGGACACCGAGUGUCAGCAUCAUAUGCUGGCUGUCCAGGUGUGUAAAAUACACCUGUUAGCAAGGGCCGGGCAAGACCGGUGCCAGCCGCCGCGGUAACACCGGCGGCCCGAGUGGUGAUCGUGAUUAUUGGGUCUAAAGGGUCCGUAGCCGGUUUGGUCAGUCCUCCGGGAAAUCUGAUAGCUCAACUAUUAGGCUAUCGGGGGAUACUGCCAGACUUGGAACCGGGAGAGGUAAGAGGUACUACAGGGGUAGGAGUGAAAUCUUGUAAUCCCUGUGGGACCACCUGUGGCGAAGGCGUCUUACCAGAACGGGUUCGACGGUGAGGGACGAAAGCUGGGGGCACGAACCGGAUUAGAUACCCGGGUAGUCCCAGCCGUAAACGAUGCUCGCUAGGUGUCAGGCAUGGCGCGACCGUGUCUGGUGCCGCAGGGAAGCCGUGAAGCGAGCCACCUGGGAAGUACGGCCGCAAGGCUGAAACUUAA